rnacentral:lncRNA from 1 species
GAUGGCUGGAUGGCAUCACUGACUCAAUGGACAUGUGUUUGAGUGAACUCUAGGAGAUGGUGAAAGACAGGGAGGCCUGGCGUGCUGCAGUUCAUGUGGUCCCAAAGAGUCAGACUCAACUGAACAACAUCAAACUGCAUGUUUAAGAUUUUAUUACACAUCAAUUAUAUUUCAACUACAAAGAAUAAAAUAAAAUAUUUCAAUUCUCCUUGCAACACUCUGUCAGAAUCAGAUCAUACACCAAUAUAGAAUUUGAGGAUUAUUAUUAUUAUUUUGCCACAAAACUGAAACUUGAUAACCCACAUUAUUCACCAGACUCAAAAGUUCAUUAUAGUCUUUUAGAAAACAAAACUCAUCCACAAAUUUGCACCAGUAUGGA